CCUACGGGAGGCAGCAGUGGGGGAUAUUGCACAAUGGGGGGAACCCUGAUGCAGCGACGCCGCGUGGGUGAAGAAGCGCCUCGGCGCGUACAGCCCUGUCAGCAGGGAAGAAAAUGACGGUACCUGAAGAAGAAGCCCCGGCGAACUACGUGCCAGCAGCCGCGGUAAUACGUAGGGGGCAAGCGUUCUCCGGAUUUACUGGGUGUAACGGGGGCGCAGGCGGCGAUGCAAGCCAGGAGUGAAAGCCCGGGGCCCAACCCCGGGACUGGUCUUGGAACUGCGUGGCUGGAGUGCAGGAGGGGCAGGCGGAAUUCCUGGUGUAGCGGUGAAAUGCGUAGAUAUCAGGAGGAACACCGGUGGCGAAGGCGGCCUGCUGGACUGCAACUGACGUUGAGGCCCGAAAGCGUGGGGAGCAGACAGGAUUAGAUACCCGGGUAGUC
rnacentral:rRNA from 1 species